AAGGCGGGGGCUAAACAUGCAGUCGAGCGGCUGCGGGGAGGUUGCUUGUUACUUUUGCGGGGGAGGGGGGGAAGAAGGAGAAAUGUCUGGGAGAUAGCGGGUCGAGGGGUACCUAAGGUGCACACGACCGGUAAUACCGCAACCGCCCUACGGGGGAGAGCUUGGGACCUUGGGCUCUUGCACGAUUGUAUGUCCCCAUGGGGAAUUAGCUUGUUGGUGACUCACCGGCGCGACGAGGCGAAAAUCCCUAGCUGGGAUGAUAAGAUGAUCUGCCACUGUGGCACUGACACGACUCCCACACUCCUACGGGAGGGGGCAUAGGGGAAUAUGGCACUGUGCCUGAACCCCUGAUGCCGCCAUGGCGCGGGAGGGAAUAAGGUUUUCGGGUUGUUUAACUUUUUCGGAAAGGAAGAAAGGUUGAUACCUGAUGUUUUGACGUUGUCACGAUACUCACAAAAGACGCACUCUGUGCCUCCGUGCCCGGUAAUACGGUAAUAGCGAGGGUGCAUCCGAAUUACUGAAUUACUGGGCCUCGUGCGCACUUUGUUAAUUUGAAUGUGAAAAUGUGAAAGCCCCGCUCUCAACCUGGAUCAUUGCCUGGAAAACUGUCAAUAUAGAAUAUUGUGGAGGAAUUUCCUGUUUCGCGUGUAACUGUGAAAUGUAUAGAGAUAUGGAAGAAUACGAAGUGCGAAACCUGCACCCCUACAGAAACACUGACUCUCAAGUGCUGAAGAGUGGCAGGAUACAAGAUUAGAUACCUGAUACCCCACACCAUGUCCACUAUCCAUUGGAAUCCCUGUGUCUUUGAGACGUGGUCUUCACGAGCUAACGCGUACAGUCUGCCGCCUAGGGCCUAAGGCCUAAACUUAAAUCUCAUAUCGAUGUGACCGGGCCCCCGCACGACCAUGGAGUUUGAUUUCUAAUCUUCGACGCACACGUAAAAACGUCUUUGCACGUAAACAAGUCUUCCAUACAUGGAAUAGAUGCCGUCGGGCAUUCGAACAUCAGAAGCUGCGUGGCUUGCAUGCCUGCUCGUCGUCCUUGAGAUGGUGGAGAUUAGUUCUAAAUCCCGCCCCAACCUUCGACCCUCUAGUGUCCUUUGCUUCCUAUCAGUAAGUAGCUCGGAAGCCUACCUGCCAAGAUGGCAGAGCCGAUUAAACACGGGAGUGGAAAGUGAGAGCCUAUAAGCCUUCCCAAGGUCCCUUAGGCGCCCCUA
rnacentral:rRNA from 1 species